GAUGAACGCUGGCGGCGUGCUUAACACAUGCAAGUCGAACGGAAAGGCCAGUGCUUGCCCUGGUUCUCGAGUGGCGCACGGGUGAGUAACACGUGGGUGUUCUGCCCUGUACUUCGGGAUAUGCUUGGGAAACUGGGUCUAUUACCGGAUAGGACAUCUUUUUGGAUAUUGUUCUGGAAAGCUUUUGCGGUGUGGGAUGAGCUCGCGGCGUAUCCGCUUUUUGGUGGGGUAAUGGCCUACCAAGGCGUCGACGGGUAGCCGGCCUACGAGAGUGUACGGCCACAUUGGGACUGUGAGACAGGCCAGAGUCGUGCGGGAGGCAGCAGGGGGGAAUAUUUCACAAUGGGCGCAAGCCUGAGUCAGCGACGCCGCGUGGGGGAUGAAGGCCUUCGGGUUGGAAGCACCUUUCGCUAGGGACGAAGCUUUUUUGUGACGGUACCUGGAGAAGAAGCACCGGCUAACUACGUG
rnacentral:rRNA from 1 species